rnacentral:rRNA from 1 species
AAGUCGUAACAAGGUUUCCGUAGGUGAACCUGCGGAAGGAUCAUUACCGAAUUGUCGACACGAGUUGUUGCUGGUCCUCGAUCGGGGACACGUGCACACUCUGUUUACGCAUCCACUCACACCUGUGCACCCUCCAUAGUUCUGCAGCCUGGGGGCUCUCUGUUCCCUGCCGUGGUUCUAUGCAUUUACACAUACACACAGUAGUUAAGUCUCAUGGAAUGCAUACCGCGUUUAACGCAAUAUAAUACAACUUUCAGCAACGGAUCUCUUGGCUCUCGCAUCGAUGAAGAACGCAGCGAAAUGCGAUAAGUAAUGUGAAUUGCAGAAUUCAGUGAAUCAUCGAAUCUUUGAACGCACCUUGCGCCCUUUGGCUAUUCCGAAGGGCAUGCCUGUUUGAGUAUCAUGAACACCUCAACUCUUGUGGCUUUGCCAUGAUGAGCUUGGACUUUGGGGGUCUUGCUGGCCUGCGGUCAGCUCCUCUCAAAUGAAUUAGCUUGCCAGUGUUUGGUGGCAUCACGGGUGUGAUAACUAUCUACGCUUGUGGUUUUCCACCAGGUAACCUUCAGUGAUGAAGGUUCUCUGGAGCUCAUAAAUGUCUCUCCUCAGCGAGGACAGC